GGCGGGGUAGUUUAGUGGACUAGAACGCUUAAACAUCCUUGUUCACCCCUUGCCUAUUCAGGCCGAAGAAUGAGGAUUAUCGCCUUUCACGCGAGAAACGCGGGUUCAAAUCCCGCUCCCGCCA
rnacentral:tRNA from 2 species